rnacentral:rRNA from 1 species
UACGUAGGUGGCGAGCGUUGUCCGGAUUUACUGGGCGUAAAGCGCGCGCAGGCGGCCGGCCCAGUCCGAUGUGAAAGCUUCCGGCUCAACUGGAAAAUGGCAUCGGAUACUGGUCGGCUGGAAGGUGGGAGAGGGUAGCGGAAUUCCCGGUGUAGUGGUGAAAUGCGUAGAUAUCGGGAGGAACACCAGUGGCGAAAGCGGCUACCUGGCCCACUCUUGACGCUGAGGCGCGAAAGCUAGGGGAGCAAAC